GCCAUGUAGGAUGCGGUUCAGAGCAGAAUCAAAGCAGGUGUGUCCUUUGCAGCCAGCUGGCCGGCCUUUCCUCAGCUCAUGCUUUGGUUCUCAGUCUCCUCUAUUUUUUUUUCUUUUUUCUUUCCUUCCUUCCUUCCUU